UACGUAGGGACCGAGCGUUGUCCGGAAUCAUUGGGCGUAAAGAGCGUGUAGGCGGCCUUUUAAGUCCUGCGUGAAAUCCUGCGGCUCAACCGCAGACGGUCGUGGGAAACUGGAAGGCUAGAGUGCGGGAGAGGAGAGUGGAAUUCCCGGUGUAGCGGUGAAAUGCGCAGAUAUCGGGAAGAACACCAACGGCGAAAGCACUCUGCUGGGCCGACACUGACACUGAGAGACGAAAGCUAGGGGAGCGAAUGGG
rnacentral:rRNA from 1 species